CUAUUAAAACAGCAGCCAUUUCUGAUCUUUAUUUACUAAAUGAAAACACAAAUGGCAGCCGCGGAUUUUUGGCUUGGUGCCAGGGAGGCAGCGUCGGGGGAUGGGGCCGCGUUAAGCUCUGAUCUGAGAAGCCGGCAGUCAAAGCGGUCCAUGUAGACGAUGUCGAAGGGCACGACUUUCAGCGUGGGCUGGGCUUCGAGUCCCAAAGCCAAGCCUUUCUCAGUAAUUACUCCCAAACUCUACUACCUGAAGUCCAAUUUAGGUUCUUUAGCAGAAGGAUUUUAGUUUGUUUCCAAGAAUGAGAAACUUUGUGUCUGCCAGUGAUGAAGGGACUGGUUUAGAACAUCUUAUGGUCAGAACGUUUCAAAGAUUAUCAUCUACUGCAACUUCUCGCCAAGGGCAAGAAUCUCUCUUGAAACAUCUGACAAUUGACGCUGUAGGAGUUCACCAUCGCACGUGUUCAGGUGGUGAUGCCCUCCUACAGUGGGCUGUCAAGGACUGAAUACAAGGCUCCAAGCCUUACCCGAUCAGUGCAAAGUCAAUGUCAACCAAAAGACCCUGCCACCCAAAGGCCAUCCUCCCAGCUGGGGACUGCACUGCGCCCACCCACUGUUCUCUUGCAAGGUUUCAUCUGUUUGAAAAGAACAUUAGAAUACUCUCAAUGUUUUUUUAAAAACCUACCACCCUUUCUUAGGAACAAGAAAGCCCCUUUUGAUGAAGAGUUAGUUAUCGCAUCUGAGUAUAUUUUAUUUAGCAUUUCUGACAUAUUUCCCUUAUUUUAUUUAGCAUUUCUGACAUAUUUCCCUUAGUUGUUAACUAAUUUGCAUCCUAUAAAACAUUUUUACGAAUGUCACAAGAACUGUCACAAUAACCCCAAGAGACAGGCAAGGUCAAGGUUGUUACCCCCAUUUCAUUAUUGAGGAAACAAGACCUACAGAGGCAGUGACUUAGGGAAAGCCGUGCAGAGUUGGAAUUUGAAGCCCAGUUCUUUGACUGUAGGUUCACACCUUGUUUUUACUAUACCACAGCUGGGUCUCUUUGGCAGAUAAUUGGGUUGAAAGGGAACAACUGAAUUUCUGGAGCCACAGAACAAGGCCUUCGUUCCUCCACUCUGUCGACAUGAGUUGUUCUUCUGGGGCCUUCAUCCUCUGUCAUUCGUCCAGUGAGGCAGGUGCAUGGGAGCCCCAUCAUUGGCCUGAAGCUGUAAAAUACAAGAUUCACCCACAGGUGUAAGCCGAAUAGAGAAGAUGACUUUCUGAAACUGAAGGAAGUUGGAAGGAGAGGUGAGGGCUAACACGAGCAUCUCUGCAGUGAAAGGCAGGGCGAGAGGAACCUUCCCUAUUCUCACUGAUAGACACUGAAGAGAGGCCACCAUGUGAUAAAGGAACAACCUUUGCCAUCAUCUCCUUGUUGAAAUUGAAGAAACGAAAUGAGCGCUGACGGAGGUGGGUGAUGUCACGUUGUCAUCUGCCAUCCCUGAAAUACCACUUCCUCUUCGUGGGGGCAUGAGGACCCAACGCAGAAACGCAGCUCGGUCAUCCCAUGAGGGGAUGUCAGCUCUUCAGAUGCUCCCUUUUGAUGGAAGGGUGUCGUUGGCAAACACCCGGCUACCUGCUCUUCGGGGGGAAAUGAACCUAAGAUGCGGAAAUAAAUACGUAAGACCAGCAUAAGCACUAUUAAAUUCCAGACAAGUUAUCUAAAGGACCCGACACAUUACACGCUUCUUCCAUCACCACCACACCCCCAUACACUUCAAUUCAACUCUACAAAAAUAAAUUCUGUGUGUCACACUUAUGCUGGGCAUCGUUCUAGAUGCUGUGGGAAGUCACGGUGGGGCAAACGCCAAGAUCUGUCUGAUAUAAUAAUGCCCUCAAGAAACUUUAUGAUUUAGUAGGAAGAUAGAAGUAUUCUAAAGUCAUUGAUAAUCUAUAAAAUAAUGCAAAAUUAACUAGUAAAGACUAAGCAGAAAGCUGUGGGACACUGAGGGCAGAAUCUCCCAGGUGAAGGGAAUUAACAGUUUUUUAAGCAGCCAGC
rnacentral:lncRNA from 1 species